GGGGCUGUAGCGCAGCUGGGAGCGCAUCUCAAUGGCAUUGAGAGGGUCAGGGGUUCGAGUCCCCUCAGCUCCACCA
rnacentral:tRNA from 1 species